ensembl:lncRNA
GAAUGCUGCACUCCUAAGAGGUGCACUCUAAUUCUUUAUGAGAGAGAAACUGCUGUUUCCUAGCAUUCUUGUCUCUUGGUGUUUUUCUGUGUGAAGAAACCUGGGACAAGGCACAUUGGUACUCUUACACUAGGGCUGCUUCCUUUCUUCCCACUGGUUUUGCAUUUGAAAGCUACUUCGGGACUUAUGCAACAAGGAUAAAUCAAGUUGUGCUGGUGUGAUUCCAUGAAGGCCACUGGGAUUAGCAGACUUGAAUUUGCUUCACUCCAAGGGCAAAGGGGGAGAAGAUGGCAGUCUGGCCCAAUUCCAGAAGAGGGUGAAUGUUAGGUGAGAACUGGAUGAGAAUCCUUGGGGCUUCAAAACUAGGUACAGGAUCAUAACUUAAAUGGAUGCUAUGAAAUUGUGGUGGCUCAUCAAAGCUUUACCUAAGAAGGCUCAUAGCUGUAACACUGUACAAGUACAAAGGUUGCCAUCUGGUGUAUUGCAAACAGUUUCAGAGAGUAAGAGGCCAUCUGUUAAUACUUUUUCAGGAAGCUUUUUAUAGAGCAGUGAAGUGGCAAAUCUCAAAAACACGUUGUAAUGACUUACAAGAUCUUGGGUAUGCAUACAAGUAAAGGCUGACAUUUUAUUCUUAUUAACAAUAUAGUUGUCAAACUGGGAAGAAAAGGAAGAGAAGAAAGAGAACUCGCAUGCAAAUGCACAUGCAUUUUAAAGGCUCUAUUUCAUGUAUUACCUUUCCUAUUUUUACAUAAAAUAUAAAGUAAGCUUCUGAAGCUUGGUUCGGUUUACACACAUGUACUUUAGUAAGACUGAUUGCUCAUUUGAGAAACAGUUUCCUUUAACUACUAAUAAAAGUCAAGUGGUCCCAGGAUUUUGCCUAAUAAUGCUGAAAAUGAAUGGCUUGUGUUACUGUAGCAUGCUAUUUUUACAGUUCCAGUUGUUAUUAUUCAUAAGAGGACAUCCUGCAGGACAUCUGACAUGUGAAAGGCGUCUAGUUCAGACCUUCUGCUUUGAGUGCCAGCAACAUCAGGUUCAAUAUCUGGUGUAUUCCUAUGGCAGAAGGUUAGUUCCUCAUUCAGCUCCACAAGUACAGGGAUCUUCAACCCAGAUUUGAUGUGCUCACUCCACUGUAAAUGUUAACAGUAGAGAACACAGCUGACAAGUGUUGCCUCUCCAACCACUCAAGUGCUUUGAUUAUUGUGGAAU